AACGAACGCUGGCGGCAGGCCUAACACAUGCAAGUCGAACGCUCGUAGCAAUACGGGAGUGGCAGACGGGUGCGUAACGCGUGGGAACAUACCCUUUGGUUCGGAAUAACUCAGGGAAACUUGAGCUAAUACCGGAUACGCCCGAGAGGGGAAAGAUUUAUUGCCGAAGGAUUGGCCCGCGUCUGAUUAGCUUGUUGGUAGGGUAACGGCCUACCAAGGCGACGAUCAGUAGCUGGUCUGAGAGGAUGAUCAGCCACACUGGGACUGAGACACGGCCCAGACUCCUACGGGAGGCAGCAGUGGGGAAUAUUGGACAAUGGGCGCAAGCCUGAUCCAGCCAUGCCGCGUGAGUGAUGACGGCCCUAGGGUUGUAAAGCUCUUUUACCCGGGAAGAUAAUGACGGUACCGGGAGAAUAAGCCCCGGCUAACUUCGUGCCAGCAGCCGCGGUAAU
rnacentral:rRNA from 1 species